GGCCAUUGGUGGCAAUACUGGUAGGAGUCGCCCGAGGCUUAGCCAAUAAUUUCCGUUCUAUACCCAAUAUACAUACCCGAACUGGGCACAAAUCUAUCCCAUUCCUUGGUGCUGACCCCUUUGAUGCGCCCCCGAAUCCCUUAGCAUUAUUAGUACGUCCAAUUCAUUUCGUGAUCAGCUCACCGCAUGCUCAGUACUGUGUUGUAAAGUAUGCAAAUUUCCGACGCUUUUAAAGGGGCACUCCGGCUUCAUUUUCGACGCCGAGUUUUCGAUGCCAAGACGAAGGUAGGUGAAAGAGAAGACCCCUCGAACAAGAACGAGUCUCCAGAAGCGAUCGAGUCGAGCAGGAAGACGACUUUUGAAUUUAGGCCGAGCGAGCGCUGAUGACGUAAUGAGGGAUUAGCUUGCCAGUGGAAAUGCAUCUGCGCACAUACAUUUCACACACUUUUUGGCCAAUUUUCAAUCGAAGAGGAGGUUGUUUGCUAUGUUCUCCCAACGCCGUGAGCGAUCCCGUCUUCUAUACCCUUCCAGGUACCCUGAAGGUCCUCCAGAGGAGAAUUUAUCUCCAGCAAAGCGUUGUUGAUCCGCUAAAUUCGUCUCGAGACACAUUCACCCAGUGCAGUGCUGAUAAAUGUAGAAUGUUGAAUCUGUGAUAAUUGUCGACGAUGGAGAGAGAGGCUGAUAGCGGCUGUCGCAGGGAGAGUGAAGCUGCUGGAAGUAACAACGGGGAGCCCGUUUGUAUCACCUGAACAACCAGACUUCAAAGCAGUUUGACCAAAUCGGAGGGUGCCUCGUUGCUUAUCGUGAAUAUUACACCGACAUGAAUUACUACAAGUACAUGUAUACUGGUCUGUCCAAUAUGCAUUGACCGUAUUGGGUAUGGUACCUGCUCUGAGAAGGGAAUCGCUGGAGCCACAGUCCAACUAUACAGGCUUUCAAGAAACAGAGAGGAGCCAUCUUUGCAAGCUGAUACCUGAUGUGUACCGACAGAAUUCUCACGAGAUACCUUACGGACUACGCCUGGUGUAUACUUCAUAGUACUCCUUCGACUACUGUCUAGAAUCAAGUCGACUGAAACAAGUUCAAACAACUCUGGCUUCAAACGAGCCGUCGAUUAGACAAACAAAACAUUCUCUCAUAUACUAGAGCACUCUGACAACUCACGACCUAUUCCUAACGAUUGCCACCGCUUAUAAAUAUGUAGAGUACUGAUUGGAAUGUGCUCACAAUCUCAACAAUUCAGUGCUAUAAUUAUUUGAACAAUGUGUUCUUUCCAUAAAUGUUGUAUCCACAUAUAAUCCACAAUGCUGCAAAGUUUCAGAGUUCUCAGGGUAUCAAACAAAAUUAUUUCAAAUACAGUGAAAUUGUUCGUGGACAUUAUAGCGUAACUUGUAGUUCCCUGGUCCUUUUCUUUGCUAUAAAUUAAUCCUUUGCUCUCUAGCCGCCGGCGAGUCCAACAGUGAAAUUGUUAGUUCAUAUUUA